GUGGGUGUACCUGUUUCCGUCUCCCACUUUGACUUGCACGAGGAGAUGCUGUGGGUGGGGAGCCACGGGGGCCAUGCCACUUCAUUUUUUGGCCCAGCCUUGGAGCGCUACUCAUCCUUUCAAGUCAAUGGCAGUGAUGAUAUUCGGCAGAUCCAGAGCCUGGAGAAUGGUAUCCUUUUUCUCACCAAGAACAACCUCAAGUAUAUGGCCCGUGGGGGCCUCAUUAUAUUUGAUUACCUGCUGGAUGAGAAUGAGGAUAUGCACAGUCUCCUACUGACUGACAGCAGCACUCUACUCGUUGGUGGGCUGCAGAAUCACAUACUAGAGAUUGAUCUUAACACUGUCCAGGAGACUCAGAAGUAUGCAGUAGAGACGCCUGGAGUCACCAUCAUGAGACAGACAAAUCGCUUCUUCUUCUGCGGCCACACGUCUGGCAAGGUGGCCAAGUUCCAUUUCUCCUCCCACUGCAGGGCCCUGUUUCACUAGAUACCUGAUUGGGAUCUGCUUUCCCUUAACUCUGGGGUGUAGUUGGAUUGGAGG
rnacentral:sRNA from 1 species